UGUUCAACUGUUGCUGAUCAGAACAAUAAAAGCUUGGAGUGCUCUGCCAUAGGUUGGACACAAAUAGUUCAUAUAAACAUGAAUAAACCUACUGCAUAAAUUAGGAUUGAGAAGCAAUAGCCUACCCUGUUAACUAUAACACUCAUCAGAUAUAAUCAGCUAUGUUCUUCCAGUCAUUUUGGAAACAGCUCCAUGGCAUGGCAAUCCUAAGGUGGCAGAUCCCACACCAAUCAACACCCUAAACCAGUGUGCAAUCACUAAAAGACUUCAGGGAGUCAGUCUUGACAUCACAGGAGGAAACAGCUGACUAUAUUCAUCAACACAUGCAAUCUACUCCAUGAAAAUGAAGAUAGUGAAAUGUCUUCUCAUUUUUUGUGACCUUGUAACUGGUUUUGCAUAUGUUCUUAUGUAGCUUGUUUUAGGCCAGAAUGAAAUGUUGCUCCUACAAAACAUAAUUUAUUGAUAUUACCAUUUGGAGGACAAAACAUGUGCCCUUUUGUUUCAAAGUGAUGCAUAGCUUAAACUAUUACAAAGUGAUAGAAGCAUUAAAGAAGGAAAAUAUAUUCAAUAUUUAGAUUGUGACUUUGAA